AUGUCGGGCCGCCGAUCUCGCACUCGCCAUGCCCUCAACGCUGCCGCCGAUAGCCGCAGCAGAUCUGUCGCUCCCUAUGCCCUCAGCGCUGCCGCCGAUGACCGCCGCAGAUCUCUCGCUCGCGCUGCUGCCCUCAGAUCUCUCGCGUCUACCCUGCCGCCUGGGUUCGAUCCCUCGCUGCUUCCUUCGUGUACGUGGCCACCGUCGCAGAGCACGCGCGACUCCAGUGUGCGCAUACUCCUGCAGAAGCUGGUAGGGCCCAGUCUCUACUGCCAGCACUACGGCGCCGUCCCGGAGCCCGAGGCCAGGCGCGCUGCCGCCGCCAUCGAGGCCGAGUCCUUCGCCGCCGCCUCCGAGUACGCCUCCGGCGCGACCCUGGCCUCCCACAAGGAGCGUUUCGCCGUCUACCAGAUGUACUUGAAGGGGUCUUGCGUUCGCCUCCUCGGGUUUUUCAAAUCCCGAGCCGCCGCCUUGGGGGGCAUGCUGGAACCGGGGAAUUCGUCGGCGCCUGCCCUGCUUCUUGCCGCUUCCGCUUCCGAGGAGUAG
rnacentral:rRNA from 1 species